rnacentral:rRNA from 1 species
AGUCAAUAGAUACCCAGGUAGUCCACGCCGUAAACGAUGAGUACUAGGUGUAGGAGGUAUCGACUCCUUCUGUGCCGCAGUUAACACAAUAAGUACUCCGCCUGGGAAGUACGGUCGCAAGAUUAAAACUCAAAGGAAUUGACGGGGGCCCGCACAAGCAGCGGAGCAUGUGGUUUAAUUCGAAGCAACGCGAAGAACCUUACCUAGACUUGACAUCUCCUGAAUAGUGUAGAGAUACAUGAAGCCCUUCGGGGCAGGAAGACAGGUGGUGCAUGGUUGUCGUCAGCUCGUGUCGUGAGAUGUUGGGUUAAGUCCCGCAACGAGCGCAACCCUUAUUACUAGUUGCUACCAUUAAGUUGAGCACUCUAGUGAGACUGCCCGGGUUAACCGGGAGGAAGGCGGGG